GAACUACUGUGGGAAGAGGAAAGAAAGUUGAUGAGACACUUUCUGGCCGAACUACUGUGGGAAGAGGAAAGAAAGUUGAUGAGACACUUACUGGUCGAACUACCAGAGGAAAGACUCGAGAGAGGACAUCUGUCAAUAAAGAAAGUAUUUGUUUAAGAGGGCUGUGUAAUCAUCCUCGAGCCAGGAAUUGGAUAAAUUGUUCACUAUGUUUAGGAUGGUACCACUGUUCCUGUGCUGCUGUUCCAUACAUGACUGCAAAAAGAGAUGAUUUUGAUUUUGUUUGUGGUGAUUGCUCUACUUAAUUAUAUUCAGUGACUCUUGAUUAAUUUUAAUUAACAAAAAUGGGCGUGUCCGUAGAUGGACUGUUCACUUUCAAA